UGCGCGGACGACGGGGGAGGGCGGGGGCAAAAACAUAGUUAAAGGGAAAGGGAGGCUGAGCGCGCCAGGAUGUUGAGCAGCGGCAGCUCUGAGUUGGGGUUGGACGGUGCGGGCGAGAAGGCUUGGGAGGGGCGCGUGAGUGAGAGACAAGCAGGAUGCUGAGUGGGCAAAGCUGCGAGGAAGGGGCGUGGCUGGCAGGCUGAGGCCACCACGCGCUGUUGGGGAUGGUGGAGGAAUGGUGACAGGCAAGAGGACGGCGAGGAGGGUGCAAGGCUUGCGCAGAACCGAAAGGCCAUCCAGACGACCAAACUACCCCGGGCAAAAAAACUCUCCACGUUUGCAAUGCUCUGUACCGUCGCGGUGCCGAAGACGGGUGACUUCAGGCGGGCGUCAGAGGCUGAGGUGUGGCAAAAUGCUCAUCUACUGUCUCUGCCCCCGAGUAACGUGAGAAUAUGCAGGAGUGGGUGGGUUGAAGAUGGAGCAGAAAGGAGGCGGAGAUUCAGCUAACACCCCUUCGUAGGGAGGGUGGGGUCCCUAGAAGCUAGAUGAGUUCACCAGAUAAUCCCAUCAAGUUGUGGAACAGACUUCAAUUACCAUAGGAGUGGGCCAGGCAACUGAAAGCAUGUGGACCUUAGGCUCAGAAAGAUUUUCUCUUUCAUCCUCCUGAAACUCCAGCAAGCAGCAGCCUGGCUUUACACACACACCCAUGGAGUUUGUGGAAAGAAAACCAUGUGAGCAGCAUGGAGCUGAAUUUAGGAUUUUCUUAUGACUCUGUAAUAUCUCCUGGCAAGCCCACUGACAGCUGGUACACAUGAAAGUAGGAAUCUAACCUAUAAUGGAUGCAGUUGCAAACCAGAGGAUACAAAAGAAGCUUGAAGCUUGUUUCUUUAGGCUGCCUACAGGCUGCACCUUUGACUCUUGAAAACAGGCUAUUCUCUAUUUUAUUCUAAGGCAAAUGAAGAAUCCUAAAAUUGCUGAAAUACCCAACUAACAAAAACAAUGUAUAAAAAUUACCUGUAAUGUAAUUUGACACCAUUUAAUAAUAAUAUCGCAAGUCAUGAUGUCUUUCACAACAAUCGCUAUAACCACUACAGCUAAAAGAAUGAAUAAAAAAUGGUAAGGGCUCCAAAUCCUUUGUACAGAAAGUGCAAUGUUUCCUAUAAAAAUAGCCCUGAAGUCUGGAAUCUUCUCUCACACCUCCACAGAAUAUUGCCAGGUAGUACUGAAUCCAGUUCUGAAAUAGAAUAAAAAUCCAUCCCAAGUGGAUGCUUGAAUCUUGUUUCUUUAGGCUGGCCACAGGCUGCAUCUUUGUCUCUUGCAAAGAGGCUACUCUGUAUUUUAUUCGAAGGCAUUCACAAGUAUUGAUCCUUAUGAAAAAGUUUGUCCAAGUUUUGCAUGAGGUCUAAAGCAUUUGUAAGUACUCAGACUGACCUGGCUCAAGGGCUUGCACUUGAGCUGGACUGGGCCCAGUUUGGCUCGAAGUUGAGCCUAACCUGCCCAUCCAGUCUGGGGCCAGUUCAGGGUGUAUUUGGGGGUGGUGGCAGACUUACUGCUAUUGCCCGGCUCCGGGGGUGCUGUUGCGGCCACGGGAGGUCUCGUGAUGUUCAGCUGGCCUCCCCUGGUCAUUUUUGGACCAUUUUCAGCUCAGUAUGGGCUUCUCUGCGGUGGCGGUGGCCAUUUGGGGGGCUGCCACUAAUGCUAAUGGCUAUUUGCAUGACACACAGUCAUGCAGAUGACCAUUGGGCAUGCACAACAGCCUCCAAAGUGGCCACCAACACUGCAGAGAAGCCAAAACCGGGUCAUAAUGGGGCAAAAAUUACCAGGGAGCCUGGCAGGGGGAGGGGGGACAUCAGGACACCCUCCUCAUGGCCAUGACAGCACCCCUGGGGCCUGGCAAUGGUGGUAAGUCCACAAUUUUUUUCAUUAACACCCCCCCCAGCUGGGCGUGAAUCAGUUUGGACUUUAGCUGGACCAGGCACAGCUCGAGUGUGUGCAGGACCAGACUGGACCCAGUUUAGUUCCACUCAAACCGAAUCGAGGUUUCAGGUUUUGUGCACACCCCUACACUCAAGAUGAGUGAUGUAAAGGUCAUUACAUAUUUGUUUUUUGGCGAUGGAGGCAAGUUAGAUUCUGAGUUUGUACAAUCGUUCUUAAAACUGUGGGGAUUCUGGUGGCAGGGGGGCGUGGGAAUCCUCAACACCACUCUCUGAAGCAACAGGCCUCCCUAGCUGAGGUAGAAGGGAGGGAAUAGGAGGACACAGAGUAGCAAAGUAUAUUGGGUGGGGGAGAAUUUGUCACACAUAUAUUUCUAAAUAAAAAUAACUGUGUUGUCCACACUAAUCCUAAACAUAAGAAGCUAGUUUAAAGUUCCAUUGAGUAAGCAUAAAGAGAUUCUGGGAAAGCCCCAAGCUUCCAGUCAUGGAAAGAAUCUCUUCACACUUGCAACAUUUGUCUCUGCAGACAAACACUAUAAACAUGUUCAACAUGGGGGUCAAACUACUGUGUUUCUCAGUGCUAGGACAGGGCUUGCAUGAACGCUCCUGGGGACACUGUAUAUGGGUACAGCAUCCCCCUUAAAAAAAAAAUUCUGUAGAGGGCUAAUAUCUGUUAUAUUACCCUAUCUACAUAUUUGUAGGGAAUUCUUGAGAGUAAAUCCCAUUUAACCCAGUGGGAGUUACUUCUAAGUAAACAUGCCUAGGUGUGUUCUGAAUGUAAAUAUAUUGUGCCAUGGGAAAAAUAGUGAAUUAAUCACUGUGAUAAGCAAGCAAAUGAAACUAAAAUCUAAUUCUUUCCCCCCACCCCGCCAACGUUACCUUUAUGUUGUAGUUUGUCAACUGCUGUGAUACACAGGUGGAUGUUGUUGCAUCUUUGUGAAAUUAUUUUUCCUUUUAUAUUAAUAAAAGAUUAUUAUAUCA